rnacentral:tmRNA from 1 species
GGGGAUGCAAGGCAUAGACAGUAGGCCUUUUGUCCAAGAUGCAUGUCGAGCAUGGACGUAACUCGCUAAAAUUCGUCUAAAUGUUAAUUGCAAAAUUAACUUCUAAGGUGAAGGGUAUAGCUUCUUCAUACUUCGGUAUGAAGGACUUUUCUUUCGCUCCAGCUUACGCUUUAGCCUAAGCCGGUGUCUCAUUCAUAGACUUCCGAUAUAUGGAUUGAGGCAUAAUAUUAUCGGGAUAGGAAAAAGAAUUUUUCGACUUUCUUCCGAAACACAGAGAAUCGAUUAAAAAAUAUUUCGCUUGCUUUUUAAUUUUUUAAUUUAAAACAAACAGGCACGCUACACAUGUAGACUUCUUGGUAAAAACCUUCUGCACGGGGAUUCGAUUUCCCCCAUCUCCACAA